GACGAACGCUGGCGGCGUGCUUAACACAUGCAAGUCGAGCGGAAAGGCCCUUUCGGGGGUACUCGAGCGGCGAACGGGUGAGUAACACGUGAGUAAUCUGCCCCUGGCUUUGGGAUAACCACCGGAAACGGUGGCUAAUACCGGAUACGACCACUCCCGGCACCGGGUGGUGGUGGAAAGAAUUUCGGUUGGGGAUGGGCUCGCGGCCUAUCAGCUUGUUGGUGAGGUAAUGGCUCACCAAGGCGUCGACGGGUAGCCGGCCUGAGAGGGUGACCGGCCACACUGGGACUGAGACACGGCCCAGACUCCUACGGGAGGCAGCAGUGGGGAAUAUUGCACAAUGGGCGCAAGCCUGAUGCAGCAACGCCGCGUGAGGGAUGACGGCCUUCGGGUUGUAAACCUCUUUUAGCAGGGAAGAAGCGAAAGUGACGGUACCUGCAGAAAAAGCGCCGGCUAACUACGUGCCAGCCGCCGCGGUAACAC
rnacentral:rRNA from 1 species